AUUUAUUAUUAAACUAGCAAUGGCAUGGAUUUGUAAAACAUUUUUCCGCUCGGUAAUUUUAUUAAAUUAAAGUGGUUACAGAAGAGAAGAGUGGGUGCUUAAGGAAUUCCAAAGUAUGUGUGUUUGUGUUGGAGAUGUUUACAAUGGCCAGCAGCAGGAAUGGUCGGCUAGAUUAUUUCAGAAAAUCCACUUCGUUAUAUAUGUUAGUUUUGGAAACGAUUCCAAAUGCUUAGGAGUUUCUAAAAAUUACUGCUAGACUAUGUAUUAUUAUAGAGAUUAUAGAAGAUAAUAUACCCUAAAAACACAAACAUAUAUCGUAAACAUACAUACGUUUUACAAGUAUUGAACUUAAAUAUUUUUUAUAAUUAAAAAUAUUUCUCGAUUUGGUGUUAAAAUAUUAUAAAAAAUCACUCCCUCAAACUUUUAAUAUUUCUCAGAAAUUUCCUAAUUGUAUGUCAUAAUUUACGGGUUGUAAGUAAAUUUGAACAUUUAUAUGUCAUUAGAAAUGCCAUUGUUUUGCUCAUCAAUAAGUAGUUGUACAUACAUAUAUACAUAUUUAUGAAUGUAUUUAUGUACAGUAUUUUGUCAAGUAAUUAUUUUCUAUUAUUCACUAAUGAAUCAUUUGAAUUGAAUGAAAAGAUAAAAUACAAAAAAAAACUAUAUUUUCGAAAUUAAAAUAUUUGAGGAAUUUGAUUUGUUUUAUUGCAUAGUUUCAAAAAUAUAAAAAAAGA